CGGCAAGGGUGGAACCGGAUUCUGCCUGGAUGGGGAUCUGGAUGGGGGUGGGGGGUUGAUUUGGGAAGCAGAGCACAGCAGCCCAAAUUUGCUUGUAAUGUCGGCGGCUGCAGAGGAAAGGCCAAGAAUGGACAUAUUAAUAAAGGGCCAUCUACAAGCCACGAAUAAGGCCAUCACCAGAAACCAACCCCGCCAGUCCUUGAUCUAGGACUUCCAGACUUCAAAACUGUGAAAAAUAAAUAAAUUUCUGUUGUUUUAGCUACUCAGUCAAUGGCAUUUUGUAAUGGCAGCCUGAGCUGACUUAAGACAUAACCUCAGGUAACACAAUUUUUUUUUGUUGUUGUUUCCUCCUAGAAAAAAAAAAAAAGUAACUUUGACAUUUAAAGUCUGUAGUUCAUUUUGAGUUACAUUUCUGUAUGGUGCAAGAUAUGUGAAAUGGCUGGUAUUAUGUGUCAACUUGUCUAGGCUAUACUGCUC